rnacentral:rRNA from 1 species
AAUGAACGCUGGCGGCAUGCCUUACACAUGCAAGUCGAACGGCAGCAUGACCUAGCUUGCUAGGUUGAUGGCGAGUGGCGAACGGGUGAGUAAUGCAUCGGAACGUGCCUUUUAGUGGGGGAUAACGUAGCGAAAGUUACGCUAAUACCGCAUAUUCUCUGAGGAGGAAAGCAGGGGGCCUUCGGGCCUUGCGCUAGAAGAGCGGCCGAUGUCGGAUUAGCUAGUUGGUGAGGUAAAGGCUCACCAAGGCAACGAUCCGUAGCGGGUCUGAGAGGAUGAUCCGCCACACUGGAACUGAGACACGGCCCAGACUCCUACGGGAGGCAGCAGUGGGGAAUUUUGGACAAUGGGCGCAAGCCUGAUCCAGCCAUGCCGCGUGAGUGAAGAAGGCCUUCGGGUUGUAAAGCUCUUUCGGCUGGGAAGAAAUCGCACUCUCUAAUACAGGGUGUGGAUGACGGUACCAGCAUAAGAAGCACCGGCUAACUACGUG